UGACCUCUCAGCAUGAUGAGUGUUGUUUCUUCCAGUGAAGCCAGACGGGGAACUAAAGAACCUGAACUCACCUCUGAAGAUGCUGUGAGAAUCAGAAAAUCUCGGUUACACUCGUUCAACAAGCGCUGAGUUCGGGAUCCACCCUCCUCUAUCGGCCUGUUUCUGCUCUCUGCUGGACUCAGAAAGCCACCAUGGAGCUGCUGACUGUUGGCCUCAUCAGCUCUCUGCUGAGCACAGCUGAGUCGCUGCUCUGUCACAUAUGCUUCGACCAGAACUGCUCCUGCUCCUCCUCGGUCACGUGUCCCGUCUUCUCCAUGUGCAGGAGCAUCACUACAUUGAGGCAGACGGAGACGUCCAUCACCGUGUCUGUGACUAAGAGCUGUUCAUCCCUGCUUCACUCUCCUGAACUCUCCCACUGAGUGGUCGGUGAAUCAGGGUUUUAUUACAAUCAGCUCUGCUGUUUGACGGACAGCUGUAACUCCACGCUGUCCUGUCAGGGAGCCGAGGAUCGCUGCUUCAAUGGAACCUUGACGUCAAACUCCACCGAGUCUCUGCUCCUCGGCUGAAUCUCCGACAACCUCUGCAGUCUCCAGGAUUUAUUUGGCUCCUUGCUCAGUGGAAACAUCCAGUUCACCUGUGGAGCUCCCUGCAGCGUCAGGAUGAGCGCCGUGCUGCUCAGCCUUGCUGUCACCGCUCAGAGAGUCCUGAUUUAGAUUUCUAUAUGUGUUUACAUUCACAUGUACAUCGAGACAACGGAGAGGGGGUGAUUAGUUCACAACAGGGGGACAGAGAGACAGCUGAGCUGCUCUGAGAGAGACAACAUGUACUUCUAUGUUGUGUAUAUUUUAGCUGAGUUCUUACAUUACCUCAGAUAUUUCCAGAAGGGUCAGAGAAAUUCUUCAUUUCUUAGAAUAAAAAUGUGCAAAUUUUU